rnacentral:rRNA from 1 species
CCUUUGACGUUAGCGGCGGACGGGUGAGUAACACGUGGGUAACCUACCUAUAAGACUGGGAUAACUUCGGGAAACCGGAGCUAAUACCGGAUAAUAUUUCGAACCGCAUGGUUCGAUAGUGAAAGAUGGUUUUGCUAUCACUUAUAGAUGGACCCGCGCCGUAUUAGCUAGUUGGUAAGGUAACGGCUUACCAAGGCGACGAUACGUAGCCGACCUGAGAGGGUGAUCGGCCACACUGGAACUGAGACACGGUCCAGACUCUACGGGAGGCAGCAGUG